UCAGACGUGUGCAUCUUCCGACCUUUUUCAGUGCGUUCCUUGUAAGAAUCAACGUGAUGUGACAGCAGCAACUUUGGCAACGAC